ensembl:lncRNA
CUGUCUACCCUCCAACUCACCAUUAUUAACCCUGUCUACCCUCCAACUCACCAUUAUUAACCCUGUCUACCCUCCAACUCACCAUUAUUAACCCUGUCUACCCUCCAACUCACCAUUAUUAACCCUGUCCACCCUCCAACUCACCAUUAUUAACCCUGUCCACCCUCCAACUCACCAUUAUUAACCCUGUCCACCCUCCAACUCACCAUUAUUAACCCUGUCCACCAUCCAUCUCACCAUUAUUAACCCUGUCCACCAUCCAUCUCACCAUUAUUAACGCUGUCCACCCUCCAUCUCACCAUUAUUAACCCUGUCCACCAUCCAUCUCACCAUUAACCCUGUCCACCAUCCAACUCACCAUUAUUAACCCUGUCCACCAUCCAACUCACCAUUAUUAACCCUGUCCACCAUCCAACUCACCAUUAUUAACCCUGUCCACCAUCCAACUCACCAUUAUUAACCCUGUCUACCCUCCAACUCACCAUUAUUAACCCUGUCUACCCUCCAACUCACCAUUAUUAACCCUGUCUACCCUCCAACUCACCAUUAUUAACCCUGUCCACCCUCCAACUCACCAUUAUUAACCCUGUCCACCCUCCAACUCACCAUUAUUAACCCUGUCUACCCUCCAACUCACCAUUAUUAACCCUGUCUACCCUCCAACUCACCAUUAUUAACCCUGUCUACCCUCCAACUCACCAUUAUUAACACUGUCUACCCUCCAACUCACCAUUAUUAACCCUGUCUACCCUCCAACUCACCAUUAUUAACCCUGUCUACCCUCCAACUCACCAUUAUUAACCCUGUCUACCCUCCAACUCACCAUUAUUAACCCUGUCCACCAUCCAUCUCACCAUUAUUAACCUUGCUAGGGGCCUAUGAGAGAUUUGGGAGAGGGCGGGGAGUACUUCAAGUCCCUCCUAAUCUUGAGGGAGGACAAGGAGUGCUUCCCACGGUCUCCUUAAUCUUGAGGGAGGACAAGGAGUGCUUCCCACGGUCUCCCUAAUCUUGAGGGAAGACAAGGAGUGCUUCCCACGGUCUCCCUAAUCUUUGUCGGCUGGGUGGUGAUACAGUAUGUGCGUAUUAUACCUACUGUUUGUGUUUGAAUGUAAGUGCGUAAGGAGCCAGUAUAAUAUGAAUGGUUUUGUGCAACGGACUAGCGCUCUCGUGAAUAAACAUUUUGACUAUCAUAGCUGGGCCUCCGUCUGUUUCAUUUAACCAGAAUCUUACACAUUCUGGGUUGCAGGCUGAGUAGUUUAAUUGAAGUGGUUUAUGAACAUUGAGAACAUAAUUCUCGCAACAAUGAGACAGCCUAACCAAUCACAAUAAAGCGUUGAUAUAACCAUGUUUAUGAGACAGCCUAACCAAUCACAAUAAAGCAUUGAUAUAACCGUGUUUGAGACAGCCUAACCAAUCACAAUAAAGCGUUGAUAUAACCGUGUUUAUGAGACAGCCUAACCAAUCACAAUAAAGCGUUGAUAUAACCGUGUUUAUGAGACAGCCUAAC